rnacentral:lncRNA from 1 species
AACUAAGCUUUAUAAUUACAGCUGUGUCUUAAACAUUGCUAAAUGACCCACAGCAGCAGUGCAGCCUUAUUGUUAAUGGUAGGAAAUGUGGGAUACAUGUUGAUAAGACAGCAACGGUUAGUUGAAAUAUUGUUUUGGUGAAUCAUAUAUAUAUGUUUGGACAAGAACAUCGUGAUCAUGUACAGCAUUUUAUCUGACUUGUGACCUCCAUACAUGUAAUAAUUAAAUGUCAGAAGAUAAAGAUAGAAUUUAGCUCGUAUUGUUCAAUAAUUUUUUUUAAAAAAGCUGACAAGUGACGAAUUUUGUAAAUUUCUG